rnacentral:sRNA from 1 species
GCUGGGCGUGGUGGCACACGCCUGUAAUCCCAGCAGCUUGGGAGGCUGAGGCAGGAGGAUCACGAGUUCAAAGCCUGCCUCAGCAAAAGCAAGGCAAUAAGCAACUCAGUGAGACCCUGUCUAUA